CCUUCGCUGGCAUCACAGCUGCGCCUGGAGGCACCGCUAGUCCUCAGCCUGCGAGCCACUGCCACCUUGACCUGCAGCUACUACGCUGGCGCCCCGAGUUCCGUACCGCCGCUCCCUCCCCUAUCUUGGGACCGCUGGCGCCAAGAAUUCUUGCUACGACGCUCCAUUCAACCAGGAGGUCCAACCAAACAGGAUCAGAAUCCAUGCUUCUGUUGAAGAGGUAUACUGAGUCCUGCCCUGCUCAGUGAGUUUACUAGAAAAUUGCCAGAGGCUCAAAUCAGCAUCCUGAAUGUGGUUAUCAAACCGUUGUGAAGUCUUGGCUGAAUUGUGAAGGUUAUCUUUGGCAAGUGUUUUAGAAAGUCCACCAGAUCAUGUGAGUGAACAUGCAGCAGAAGAGGGGGGUGCCCUCUCAGUGAUUAAGGUAACAGUGAAUAAGACCAUCUGCUUCAGCUCUGCCCUCCACGCUGUCAUUAAAUUGAGAAUCUGAUUGCCUAUGGGUUGUUAAGUUUCCUGAGACUGUAGAGAUAGCAGCUGCUGUUUGUUGGGGCAUGGACCUAUUCGCCUAUUGACUGGUAUGUGCAAAUGUCUUUCUUUCCUUACGUACAAUCCCAAAGUGCUUUAGACUAACAACUCAGCUAUCAUAAGUAUAUCCAGAAUCUUUAAUUACUCUUAAACUAUCUGGCAAACCCAGUCAUGAGGCAUCCAGAGGUAUUAUACCUGACUAUCUUUGGAAGUGACAGUCUCACAAAUAACUAUACACCCCUAUUUUCUUUAUAUACUGAAUUCGCUUCCUCCUGCUAAUGGGCUCCUUAUCCUCUGUUCUUUAUUCUGUAGUUGAUGGAUAGUUUAUUCAAGGCUUCUGAUUCCUGUGUUUACUGACUAGUUGAUCUUAACUUAAAUCUUUCAUGAUUCUCAUACAGGCUGUGGGAUGUUCUUUCAUUAUGUAUCCAUUCAUUUCAGUUGCUGAAUUUCUGUUCCUGUUUCUCCCAACUAUGUUUCUUUCCAGGUUCAGCUUUGGAAAUUCAGGCCUCUCUGCCUUGAGGUUAUCAACCUCCAUUUGACUUCCCAUCUUGUCCACUGAAGAAUGUGGAGUCCUAUCAGGUGAGAAAUCAUUCUGUCCCAUAGUCUGAGAUGUUGCUGGGAAGAGGGCUGUCUUUCUGUAAAAAGGGAGAAUUUUUAUUCAUUUAAAGUGCAGAAUAAGUUAUAAUUUAUACAGCAUUGUCCUAUUGGUUGAUAUUAAAGAAAACCCAUUGAUAAUAAAGCUUCACUGUGCCCAAACUGAGUAUCUCAUGUAUGUGGUCCCAUUUAUUAUCAUCUACUAAGGGCCUUGCCGAUACUCUCUUCCUGGCAUCCUUUAAUGAGUUAAUUAUCAUUUGUAUCAAUAGGUAUGUUGUACAGGUAAUAAGAAGUGAUUUGGAGAGAAAAUAAUUUUAAUGAGAUCAGAAUCCUUUUAAGUUAUCGUUUGAAUUUGAAGACUGAAUUCAGGUCACUUUACACUCCAAGAAAAGCCCCGAGUUGUUCAGGUUAUAAUUAACUCAUAUAUAUCCAGGAUAUAUAUGUCUGCAUUCACACCUAUGAAAAUUUCCCAGCGCUUGCCUGCAUCACAUGACCUGAAUGUACUUUUCUACUUGUCUAAGGGAUACACAUGGUUGGUUCCUUGGCAGAUAAGCAGUUGUUGAGACAACUGAAAUGAAGUUAGCUUUCCCACCCAGUCAGUUUUUUCUAAGUGUUGUUUUUUUGCUUUUUUUAAUAGGAAAGAAAAUUCUAUGCACAUUGGGAGAAUUGAGCAUGGUCACUUCGUCAAAGAUUCUCCUGUGUCAGUGGUUGGGACUGUUAGUGCUCACUGCCCUGACAGAGACCUGCUUCAACAGGGUAGGAGGAGGGCGGGCUGUGGGUGUCAGACUUGUUUCUUCAGGCUUGACUGUAGUAUUUUUGCUCCUUUUCUAGCAACUUCUUUGGGACUGAAAAGCAUCCCAAUUUGAUUUGUCCUUGAAGUUUCUGAAUUUCUAGCUCUUAGCUUUUUUUCAGGUUCAAGUCAUGCGCAAGUCACAUUGGUUGUAGUGUGUAUAAAUCCUUAUACCAGGCACAAAACUGAAUCCAGUUUCUUACGUAGCAACAUGGCCCUAGUGAGAGUAAUAUCCUCAUAUCAGGACUGAAACAGAAAGCACAGUAACUGAUAGGUCUAGACUGCUGCACUCUAGAUAAAGUAACUAACAUUCAUUGGAUAGUUACUCUGUCAAACACUGCUCAUAUAUUAAGCUUUUCAUCCUGAAAGUAACUCUUUUCUUUACAUGCUUACGAAUAUUAUUAAUCCAUACUUUACAGAUAGGAAACUCGAGGCAAGCUUACAAUCUAGUUGACUUGUCAAGGGUCAAAUAGCAAGUCAUUUGCAGAACAGGAAUUUGUACCAAGGUGAUCACUCCGUAGGGUCUAUACACUUAGCCCCUGUACACAGGGCCCUCAUGUGUCCCUCUCCCUCCCCUGACGUGCAGUUAGUGUCCCUUCUUUCCCCUUCUCUUUUUCUAAUCUGAAAGAUUUCACAUUUUUUCCUUUUUUCUAUAAUCUUUCUUCUCACCUCCUCUGUCUCCAUUCCUUCAUAUUCAGAGUUUAACCACCUGCCUAGAAAAACCGGCAGGCUUAUACAAUAAAGAACUCUCAGCAAAACAGAUGGGGUGAGUGUUGGGGUCAUUUAUCCUUCUUUUGAAAUAUUAAUGUUCGGAGUGGGGACCAUGGUCUUCUGGGAUCGCAGGAGCACCAGUAACUCAACUGUAGUUUGUGGUAUGAUACAAGGUGCUUCUGUGUUCUAAUUUUUUUGAGGCCAGUGUCUAGAACCAGAAAACUGAAGGGCUUUACAGUUUUUUAAGAAUGAGUUUUGUGCCCUGUGGUGUCUAUAUCUGUCUUUUCACCUGUAUCAUUUUAAGGCUUCUUUUAUCUCUUAAAUAGUGGUUGUGUGUGUUGGGCCUGUUUUCACUCUGAUUUAUGUUCUGUUCCUUGCCUCCCUGCUUCUGCCUAUGACGCUUUAACCUCAGGUACUCAGCUCUAGUUUGGUAACAACUUAGCUUUUCCAUAAAAGAAUGUUUGCUUUAGAUAGCAGGUAUUUUGAGCUGACCUACCCAGAAGGUGUGAGCAGGAUGAUUUAGGGAGCCCUUAGUAGCUUUCUCCCAUUUAUCUUUAACUUUACACACCACUCUCGCAUUUUCAGUCCUGUGGGAUUAGGUUAGUCUGUCCAGGAUGUCGCUUUGUUGCCUGCUGACUCCUGAGGAAUGUCAAAUGUCGGGCACUAUUAAUUACUUACAUUGGUCUCUGCUGGAUGCCUCGUGUCCCCUCACACCAAGCCUUAAGGUAGCUCUAGGAAGAAUUUGGAUGGUGCCUUCAUGUCCAAGGAGCAGGGUAGGAGAAAGGUCUCAACUUGAUAUAAGACUUUUUUCCAUAGUCAACAACCUCACUGCUGCUUCAGAAGAGCUGGUGACUCAGAUGAUGGUUGAAGUGGAUUCAAGUCCUGUUGGGCCCUCUGCUAUCACCAGAGGCUGUUCUGGGUUAGGCAGUGCCCCUCUUGAGCCUUAAAGUAAGGAGUCUGUGGUUUGACAGAAAGAAUACAAGUGCAUAUUUUAUGGAGUAUUAAAGCUGAAUAGAAGAUUGCCUGUUUAGGCCCAAUCAGUGUUUAUGUGUGAGCAUUACGAUCUGGGGUUGGUAUGGAGUGGCUUCCCCAAACCCGAUUAAAACCUCUAGCAAAUCACAUAAGCCUGUCCAGUACAUUUGCUUUAGAUGUUUCAGGGGUUUUAGAGUCAUGACCUCCUAUUUACUAAAAAACAAUUGAAAAUGGGGAGUAGGUGUAGAUUAGUGCAGGCUGGUCAACAUCUCUUGUCACAUAGGUUGAGGCUGCUGGAAUUCUGUUUGAGAGUUAUUGAGUAGAGGAGAUGCUAGGAAUGGGGAUGUAAGGGUUUGGGAAAGGGCAAGGGAUGGAGGAUCCAUCUGGAAUCUUACAAAGAAGAAAAGACUGCAUAGUGCUUUCAAGAAAUGGAGCAUCAGUUUACGAAGAAAUAUGAUCUCAGCAGCCAAAUUCACAUCUCCCCAUCUUGACAAGACCCAGCUCCACCUCUGCCCCAUUACGCCAGUUCUGGUUCUGUGUAUUUUAGGAGUUAGCAAUUGUGUAUGCUCUGUGUGAGUUCAGACACUGGGAGAGUGACAACUUGUGGCUGUCGUUAAAGCCACCAUAGAAGUAGGGAAGGGGUGGUUUCCUUUGGAAUGGGGCUGCGGUGUCAGGCUGAUGGGGAGCAACAGAGGAGGUGUCAGGGCAGCAUGGAGGUAAGGGUAUAUUUCCUGUAGGUAUUUAAGGACACAGGGUUUUGUAACCUAUUGAGUGCCCUCAAAGUUGGGGAUGGCUGUAGCUCUAUUACCAAGCCCUAUUUAGCAGGCACUAUGGUUAUUAGCAGUGACUGUGAAAGAAAUUAGUCCUUUGCCACUUCCGUGUUUGAUUUCCAGACUGCUCCUUAUGUUGAAAAUGCAGUUCAUAAAUCUCAUUUUCUUCAUUUAGGUAGAAGUGCCAACUUCAGGCGCUUUUAUUAUUCUAUCCAAGUGCCCUCUCUACCUUUGCCUGGCUUCUUGGGAUUGACAGUCCGGCCUGCAUCCUACCAUUGUUGUCUGAGUACCUACUACUGCAUUCAGUUUGGGGGUUGAUGAGAGCAGAGCAGGAGAGUAAAAUGGGGGAUUGGUAUGUUAAGUGGUUUUUUUUUUAAUCUUUUAAGAUUUUUUGUGGAUUUCACAUGCCUCAAAGAAUCUUGCUGUCUGGUAAGUAGAGGACAUUUAAGCAGCAAAUAAGCCUAUAGACAGGUUUGUAGAUCAUCUGCAUCAGUAAGUGUAAGCACUCCUUAUUUCCCAUGUUUUACAUUUGAGGAUAAGGUUAAAAGAACUUAACUUACUGAGAAGUUUUAAUUGAUACUGGAACUAUGUCCACUUAAUACAGGAAGCCAGCCCUUCAAAAGAUGAGAAUGCCUCUAUAAGACAAUAGGAACCAACAGCCAAAAUUUGAUUCCCAUUGGAACAAUAUACUAUGUAGGCAAGGUCCUGGGUCCCCCUAAGUGCCUCCUGUCAUAUGUAUUGGUGACAUUCCAGCUGUCCUUUUAGAUAGGAUUUUUUUUUAAAAGAUUUUAUUUUAGUUAUACAAGAGCCGGGGUACAGGCCAGAUGCACGGGAGGGUGAAAGGAUUCACCAGAGACAGAGUGGGGAACAGAACAGGCAGACUGAUGAAAUACACUGCUGAAGGGAGCAGUGGGCGAGACAGGAGAGGUCUGCUCGCCAUGUGGGUUGCUCCGAGGCUGGCAGGGAUUGAACCGGCACUGCAGAGGCUGCGGACAGCUUCACAGCGCUGCGCUCAACUGCCUGCACCACCAGGGAGCCCUAGGUAGGAUGUUUUUGGAUUAACUAUACUUCUCACUGGCUCCUGCUCAUCGGGACCAGAAGGUUGUCCAGGCAGAUACUGCUAUGCUGAACUCUUGGUGUUCAUCUUGGGUACUCACUGCCUUUUUUUUUUUUUUAAGAUUUAUUUAUUUAUGCAUACAAGAACUGGGGUACAGGCCAGCAGUGUGGGGGGUGAGAGGAUUCACCAGAGACAGAGUGGGGAACAGAAUAGGCAGACUGACUGAAAUGCACUGCUGAGGGGAGCGGUGGGCAAGAUAGUAGAGGUCUGCUGCACCAUGUGGUUAGCUCCCUGGCUGGCCGGGGCUCGAACUCAUGCUGCAGAGGCUGCAGAUAGCUUCAUAGUGCUGUGCUUAGCCUUUUAUGCCACCAGUGAGGCCCAGGAUUCACUGCCUUUUAACUAAGUGUAAUAUGCAGUGUAUACUCUAGAAUUAGGUGGGUUUGGAUGAGAUUCCAAAAUAAAAGAUUUAAGAAAUCCCACACUAUAUGUUAUGACCACAUGGGGUAAAGGUUUCAGUGAGAUGGUCUUGAGCAAGAAGGAUGAUUGUAGACAUUGACCUCAAGAAUAAUUCAGAAAAAAAUGACAAUAAAGAAAACAAAGACAUUCCCUGCUUUCAUCGGGAGGAGGAAUGAGCCUGAUACCUUUUGUUUGCUGUACACUUAGCCAGAAGAGCCUUGCAAUGCCCAUGAACAUUGAUAGAGGGUAAUUUUUGAUCACUGCCAGCCAUAAUAGUGCCUCUAGUUGUAUUCAGUACCCUGUUUUGAGUUGUCUGUCCCUUGAUUAAGGUGCUGUGCUUAGUCUUUAAAAGGGCCCUGAAAGUUUUGCACUUACUGGUUCACAUCUCAGCCAUCAACCACAUGCUAAGAGUGGAAGAAAGGAAAGAUUGGUUUAUUUCAAGCUGUAAAAGCAGCAUGCUGGUGGAGGUAGGAAUAAAACCGCCUUCUAAAUGGUCAUUUAUAGACUCUAGUACACAAAAUCGCAUUUUUAAGUGAAAAACAUUUCAUUUGGUGCAUGGGGAACUACAAACUGGGCAAGCUUACCAUGAAAGGGAGGGAAUAAAUUCUUUUUAUUGUGUCCUUGGAGUAUAUGGGUGGGAUUCAUGAAUACAUUUCCCAGCAUGGCUGUUUCACUGACUCUAAGGAUCCCCAUGCCGCAGCACAGAUAUCUCAUCAUUGGAAGCCAAGGUUAGUUCACCUUUAUUACUUCUCUCUCUUGGACUGCAGCAUGUCGACUAGAAACACGUAAGUAUCCUGGUCUAGCUUAGUCUCUGCAUGACUCUUUGUGGGACUUCAGUGUGCUUCCCAUCUCAUAGCCAAGACGAAGAAGAAGAAAUUAGAAUUGCCUAAUGAUAAUAUUUGGUAAACAUGUCCCCUAAAGUAAGCUUGGCAGCAAAACUUUAAGUGGGCAUUCUGAACUGAAGGUCAGCAAAUACGUUCUAAACAUAUCAAACAUACGCAACAAUCUUUUAGGUGAUGAAAUUCUUUAAAGCUAUCAGUUCCUAUUUUAAAGCAUUGAUAUGUAAAAAGGUUCUAAUAUUUUGUUGCCCAUAAUGCCCUUGCUCUUUGGAAACCAUAUGUUUGCAAUAGAAUUAACACCCAUUCACUGUGAGGGCAAUUUUCCUGCCAGUGGAUGAGAAACUGCUUUAGUAUCAGCACUAGCACUUUUUGUCUUGACUUAGCAAACUGGAAUCAUUCUGAACAUUGUGGUUCUCAACUAUCCCCGGUUGGACUGGCUUGUAUUUUACGAGUUAGUCUCUAUUGUGUUAUAUGACUUGAUAUUAUUAGUAGCCACUUCCUAUUCUUUUUUUUUUUUUUUUUA